AUAAGCUUAAUAGGGAGAGUGUCCACGUAUGCAAAAAUAUUCAGACCAAUCACACUAUUGUAUUGUGCCAUGUCAGCGUUCUUCAGUCUAACCAACAGACGAUAUUGUUUUUCUUUUUGAUGACCUUUCCGAUUUCUCAUUCUUAACAGUUUAUCUAUUUUUUUUUUCAUUAACUUCGCCCAUGAAUCCUCUUCGACUCCUCUUUCUCUGCUCUCUCUAUAUCUAGCGAUGAAAAAACCCUAUCAAUCUCCGCCGGAAAUUAAGAUCCACUGAUUAAUCAAAAAAAAAAAAAAUUAAGAUCCACUGAAUGCGGCUUGCUUUAGUCGAUCUCAGCAAAGUACGAGAAUGUCGAGAACUAUACUAAAAGUUAAAUAAGCUUAAUAGGGAGAGUGUCCACGUAUGCAAAAAUAUUCAGACCAAUCACACUAUUGUAUUGUGCCAUGUCAGCGUUCUUCAGUCUAACCAACAGACGAUAUUGUUUUUCUUUUUGAUGACCUUUCCGAUUUCUCAUUCUUAACAGUUUAUCUAUUUUUUUUCAUUAACUUCGCCCAUGAAUCCUCUUCGACUCCUCUUUCUCUGCUCUCUCUAUAUCUAGCGAUGAAAAAACCCUAUCAAUCUCCGCCGGAAAUUAAGAUCCACUGAUUAAUCAAAAAAAAAAAAAUUAAGAUCCACUGAAUGCGGCUUGCUUUAGUCGAUCUCAGCAAAGUACGAGAAUGUCGAGAAAACUCCUUCUGGAUCAGUCUUCGGAAAUCGUUUCUCAGCAGCUAUGUGAUGGAUGUGGCAUGUUAUUUAGAGAAUUGUCCAGAUUUGUAUUGGAAAGAUGCAUCUGCAGCCACAAGGGUCUGACAGAUUCCAUUUACCCACAUGGAAACCAGAGCUACGUACAUAGAGCUUGCUCAACAAAAGGGAAAAUGCAGUUGUAAAUACAUUUCUGGUGGUAUAUUCAAGGUGAAAGCUCGCAGGCUGUGCAGUGCUCGUCGAGCAAAGGUGUUACCUGUUAGUGUUUUGAUCUCAAAACUUCUGGUGUUAUUGUGUUGUCGUGAUCUUAUGUUGUAUGAUAAAUCCCCUUUGUUUCAAUCACAGGCAGAAACUCUUAGACUUUGGUGAGGUAAAGAUAAGUUAUAUAUCAUUCUUUGAUAUCAAGAAACAUGAAACCGUGAAUUCCAGGUGGGAUCUCGAGCUUGGACAAGAGCAGAUGAGGUUGGUAAAGGUUUGUGACCUUUGACAUCGGUAUGGACAUAACCUUCAUUUUUACUAUAAGUUGCUCCACUUCCAGAGUAGAGACCUUCUACUGGUUUGAUAUUGGCAAGGAGAAAGAAGUAAAACUUGUGAAGAAGUGUCUCGGUUGAAACUUCAACAUUAAUUAAGUACCUUGGUCUGGUUAGUAUCUAUUUCUUUUUGUUGACAUGAUUAUGCUUUGUGUAUAUGGAAAGGCAAGCUUCUGAGGUUUUUCUGAAAGACGGGAAAUUCUUUUACAAGAACAGUGGAGAUAUGCUUCAAACUUCUUCUAUGAAAGAUAGUGAUCCACAAAAAUUUUGGUGCUCAGCACAUCAAAAGUGUUAUAUGUUCGGAAGAAGGGGAAGUUUUAACAGUUAAGCUUCUUAGCUGGAGGAGCUAAUGUUGCUGCAUGAAGAAUUGUUGUUUAAAAUGGUGUUCUUACGGCUGUUUGGCCAUUGUCCAUGCUUGGUAGCAAUUUUUAAUUUUAGUAUAGUAGAUCAUAUAAAAAUAUAGAUUGAAAUUAACUGUGUUGUGAGUAUUGUUUUAUAGCUAAUAAGAAAACUGUGAAAAUUUAAUUUCAAAAAGCUUCA